rnacentral:rRNA from 1 species
AUUGAACGCUGGCGGCAUGCCUUACACAUGCAAGUCGAACGGCAGCACGGGGCAACCUGGUGGCGAGUGGCGAACGGGUGAGUAAUGCAUCGGAACGUACCUUUCAGUGGGGGAUAACGUAGCGAAAGUUACGCUAAUACCGCAUAUUCUGUGAGCAGGAAAGCAGGGGAUCGCAAGACCUUGCGCUGAUUGAGCGGCCGAUGUCAGAUUAGCUAGUUGGGGAGGUAAAGGCUCACCAAGGCGACGAUCUGUAGCGGGUCUGAGAGGAUGAUCCGCCACACGGGAACUGAGGCACGGUCCAGACUCCUACGGGCGGCAGCAGUGGGGAAUUUUGGACAAUUGGGGGAACCCUGAGCCAGCCAUGCCGCGUGAGUAAAGAAGGCCUUCGGGUUGUAAAGCUCUUUCGGCCGGGAAGAAAUCGCACGGGCGAAUACCCUGUGUGGAUGACGGUACCGGAAUAAGAAGCACCGGCUAACUACGUGCCAGCCGCCGCGGUAAAAC